AUUGAACGCUGGCGGCAUGCCUUACACAUGCAAGUCGAACGGUAACAGGUCUUCGGAUGCUGACGAGUGGCGAACGGGUGAGUAAUACAUCGGAACGUGCCCGAUCGUGGGGGAUAACGAAGCGAAAGCUUUGCUAAUACCGCAUAAGAUCUACGGAUGAAAGCAGGGGACCGCAAGGCCUUGCGCGAACGGAGCGGCCGAUGGCAGAUUAGGUAGUUGGUGGGAUAAAAGCUUACCAAGCCGACGAUCUGUAGCUGGUCUGAGAGGACGACCAGCCACACUGGGACUGAGACACGGCCCAGACUCCUACGGGAGGCAGCAGUGGGGAAUUUUGGACAGUGGGCGAAAGCCUGAUCCAGCCACGCCGCGUGCAGGAUGAAGGCCUUCGGGUUGUAAACUGCUUUUGUACGGAACGAAAAGACUCUGGUUAAUACCUGGGGUCCAUGACGGUACCGUAAGAAUAAGCACCGGCUAACUACGU
rnacentral:rRNA from 1 species